UAUUGCACAAUGGGGGAAACCCUGAUGCAGCAACGCCGCGUGAGUGAAGAAGUAUUUCGGUAUGUAAAGCUCUAUCAGCAGGGAAGAUAAUGACGGUACCUGACUAAGAAGCUCCGGCUAAAUACGUGCCAGCAGCCGCGGUAAUACGUAUGGAGCAAGCGUUAUCCGGAUUUACUGGGUGUAAAGGGUGCGUAGGUGGCAGUGCAAGUCAGGUGUGAAAGGCCGGGGCUCAACCCCGGAGCCGCAUUUGAAACUGCAUAGCUAGAGUACAGGAGAGGCAGGCGGAAUUCCUAGUGUAGCGGUGAAAUGCGUAGAUAUUAGGAGGAACACCAGUGGCGAAGGCGGCCUGCUGGACUGUUACUGACACUGAGGCACGAAAGCGUGGGGAGCAAACAGG
rnacentral:rRNA from 1 species